UCUGCUUCAAGACUGUACGAGACUAAUCUGAGGAAUCGGAAUCGACGGAAGCGGACGAGUCUCGUGGGCAUCUGGGUUGAUUUAGGACUGGAAUUGAACAAUGGGAGGAGACCAGAGCACCGAGAACAAAGACAAGGAGAAGCAUGAAAGUUCUGAGUUCAACAGCUCUGACAGUAAACAACCUGCUGUGGAAGACGCACACACUGGAGAAAUGCCCCAGUGCAGGAUGGGAAACAGGACGGUGGACAAUAUGAGCUUCAUGAUCUCAUGCACAAACUGGUAUUGACCUGCAAUUGACACAGUGGAAA